rnacentral:rRNA from 1 species
UACGUAGGGGGCUAGCGUUGUCCGGAAUCAUUGGGCGUAAAGCGCGUGUAGGCGGCCCGGUAAGUCCGCUGUGAAAGUCGGGGGCUCAACCCUCGAAUGCCGGUGGAUACUGUCGGGCUAGAGUACGGAAGAGGCGAGUGGAAUUCCUGGUGUAGCGGUGAAAUGCGCAGAUAUCAGGAGGAACACCAAUAGCGAAGGCAGCUCGCUGGGACGUUACUGACACUGAGGCGCGAAAGCGUGGGGAGCGAACAGG